ensembl:lncRNA
CUGCUUCGGCGCUCGUUCCGCCGCGGUAGUUAGUUGAAUUGGCACCCGACGCUUCACAGGGCGGCGACCUCGCUGCCUCUUGAUGCUCCAAGACUGUGAAGACGCCUAGACCAGCGGGAAGCCUCCCAAAGACCGCGGUAGCACACCUCCCAAACGCUUAAGAGGCUCCGGCGUCGCUUCUAGUAUCCUCGGGCUCAGGGCGUGCUUGGUGAAAAGCGCAUGAGCUACUGCGGGCCUCGCGGCCUCGGUAAACACCAAAAGGCGCCUGCGCAGUGGGAUUUCCUCUUGUUAGACGCGCGGGGGCGCCUGAGCAAAGAUAACAGCAAUGAGUAGUAACGGAACUGUCCUCUAUCCGUGGUCCUUUUAUUGUCUGCAAAACACAGCCCCCUCCUUUCCUUGAUCCUCUCAAAGGACUUUUGCAAAGAACAUAAAGAACUAGAGAAGGCUUCCAGAACUAGUCCACUUUUGACUUGCCAUGUGGCCUUGGGUAAAUUGCUUCCUGGGGAACCUAAGCUUUCUAACAUUUUAUAGAGGAACCAGCCUGUGGGGAGGAUCAAAUGAGAUCCAAAGAUGUAAAUGACUUUUCAGACUCCCAAGCUAUGUGUAAAAGUGGAAGAUUAUUACAGGCAGUUGAUUGCAGGCAGAGAGACACAUUUCCUCUUUCUGCACAUUGCAAACCUAAGGGCACCACAGAGGCCUGGAGCUUCCACAGGUCACUGUGUGAGCAAGGGCUAGAGCCCCGCCGGUCUGCCUUUGGCCUGGAGCUCUUUCUCGAACCCCAAGGAAUAGUUGGAUGUUGGAACGAACGCACCUGCUGUUCCAGAAAGCCUUGGAGGAGUCAAGGUUUGUCUCAUGACCCAACUGUAUGGAGAAAGCCUGAGCAGAGGGACUGAUGACCUCGCCUGCUUGGGCGGGGUCACAGUUAAUACCUCUGACAACCCCAGCUUGGGCGGGGUCAAAGUUUUAAGAAGCAGGGGUCCGAGCACGUGGUUCUCUUUCGCUCUCGCUAUUCUGCGCGGACUGGAAGUAUUUCUGUGUCCGUCCUUGCGUGAGUACCUUUCCUAAAUAAACUACCAUUAUAAACCUGUCUCUGGCAACACCUUAUCUUCAUCGAUACCUGGUGCGCCUGAAGCCUCCGCCACGAGGGAGACACAGCGCCUCCUGCCCUGUGCAGUGCUGCACCACCGAGUCUCUCAACCCGCCCGGCUACUGCACUGCUGGUUUCCAAAACCCCUUCUUUUAACGAAAUCCAUUUUAACCUCCUAUAGUAGCCCCUUUGAGAAAUGUUCAGAUUACCUCGCUACAGAGCGACCUUACUCGCCUGAAACGUGUUCUGUGGUACACCUGCGCCACCUGCUGGUCAAACAUAGUUACUGCGACUGAAAAAUCCACACCAUAGCUCCUAGUCCUGGGAAAUCAAUACAGUUCCCCACAGCCAAUUAAGAACUUCCUAACAGCAAUCCUUGAACUCUCCGGGAAGAAAAUGGGCCACACCUCAUCAAAUCCACUGAAUCCAACUUGAGUCAUUUGAAAUGACACUCCAGACAGAGCUUCGGGUACUGGCUUCAAUCAAGAAAAGGACUUCAACCUAGACCCUCAGUCGAGCAUCUCCCACCAAACAUGGACUCGACUCAAGACUUUCACUACUCUAACAUUUUCUUCCUACAGGACCCCACGAAGCUAUCACCGUCCCAUUUCAGCAGGAAGUAACUUGGAGAAUACUACACUCCCUUUCCCCACUGUUGUCACUAAGAAUAAUGUAUACCUAGUUAGGGCUAGUUUCCUUUUGUUUAGGGUUGGGUUUGGAAGGUAGGUGUUCAGGCUUGGACAUCUCUUUCAGGUGACUUUAGGGUUUAGUUGGAAUAGACAGUUAGGAUGUGAUAUUAGUAGAUUAUUAUAUUUUCUUGUAAUUCACCUUUAUGAUUGUUAUAGAUAACUUAAACUGUUACAGAUCCUUGUAUGAUGUAACUUAUGUAUAAUUUGUUUGUCACACAUCAUCUUACUCUGUAUAGUCUUCUCUCUACUUAAGAUGAUGUAUGCUUUACUUAUAUUAAGAUGUUUCAUACACAAUUUAGUUUUGUCUCAA